CCUACGGGUGACAGCAGUCGAGAAUCAUUCACAAUGGGGGAAACCCUGAUGGUGCGACGCCGCGUGGGGGAAUGAAGGUCUUCGGAUUGUAAACUCCUGUCAUGUGGGAGCAAAUUAAAAAGAUAGUACCACAAGAGGAAGAGACGGCUAACUCCGUGCCAGCAGCUGCGGUAAUACAGAGGUCUCAAGCGUUGUUCGGAAGCACUGGGCGUAAGGCGUGCGUAGGCUGUUUCGUAAGUCGUGUGUGAAAGGCGCGGGCUCAACCCGCGGACGGCACCUGAUACUGCGAGACUAGAGUAAUGGAGGGGGAAGCGGAAUGCGCGGUGUAGCAGUGAAAUGCGUAGAUAUCGAGAAGAACACUCGUGGCGAAGGCGGGUUCCUGGACAUUAACUGACGCUGAGGCACGAAGGCGAGGGGAGCGAAAGGGAUUAGAUACCCGUGUAGUC
rnacentral:rRNA from 1 species